CAGUAGCCGCGGGAAUACGUAGGUGGCAAGCGUUGUCCGGAUUUAUUGGGCGUAAAGCGAGCGCAGGCGGUUUCUUAAGUCUGAUGUGAAAGCCCCCGGCUCAACCGGGGAGGGUCAUUGGAAACUGGGAGACUUGAGUGCAGAAGAGGAGAGUGGAAUUCCAUGUGUAGCGGUGAAAUGCGUAGAUAUAUGGAGGAACACCAGUGGCGAAGGCGGCUCUCUGGUCUGUAACUGACGCUGAGGCUCGAAAGCGUGGGGAGCGAACAGGAUUAGAUACCCCAGUAGUCCCUGUCUCUUAUAC
rnacentral:rRNA from 1 species